rnacentral:rRNA from 1 species
UACGUAGGGUGCAAGCGUUAAUCGGAAUUACUGGGCGUAAAGCGUGCGCAGGCGGCUUUGCAAGACAGAUGUGAAAUCCCCCGGGCUUAACCUGGGAACUGCAUUUGUGACUGCAUGGCUGGAGUGCGGCAGAGGGGGGUAGAAUUCCACGUGUAGCAGUGAAAUGCGUAGAGAUGUGGAGGAAUACCGAUGGCGAAGGCAGCCCCCUGGGAUAACACUGACGCUCAUGCACGAAAGCGUGGGGAGCAAACAGG